rnacentral:rRNA from 1 species
GUGGAUUAGAUACCCGGGUGGUCCACGCCCUAAACGAUGUCUACUAGUUGUUGGGGUAGCAAUACCUCAGUGACGCAGCUAACGCGUGAAGUAGACCGCCUGGGGAGUACGGUCGCAAGAUUAAAACUCAAAGGAAUUGACGGGGGCCCGCACAAGCGGUGGAUUAUGUGGAUUAAUUCGAUGCAACGCGAAAAACCUUACCUGGCCUUGACAUGCCACUAACGAAGCAGAGAUGCAUUAGGUGCCCGAAAGGGAAAGUGGACACAGGUGCUGCAUGGUCGUCGACAGCU